rnacentral:rRNA from 1 species
GACGAACGCUGGCGGCGUGCUUAACACAUGCAAGUCGAGCGAUGAAGUUCCUUCGGGGGCGGAUUAGCGGCGGACGGGUGAGUAACACGUGGGUAACCUGCCUCAUAGAGGGGAAUAGCCUUCCGAAAGGAAGAUUAAUACCGCAUAAGAUUGUAGUUUCGCAUGAAACAGCAAUUAAAGGAGCAAUCCGCUAUGAGAUGGACCCGCGUCGCAUUAGCUAGUUGGUGAGGUAACGGCUCACCAAGGCGACGAUGCGUAGCCGACCUGAGAGGGUGAUCGGCCACAUUGGGACUGAGACACGGCCCAGACUCCUACGGGAGGCAGCAGUGGGGAAUAUUGCACAAUGGGGGAAACCCUGAUGCAGCAACGCCGCGUGAGUGAUGACGGUCUUCGGAUUGUAAAACUCUGUCUUCAGGGACGAUAAUGACGGUACCUGAGGAGGAAGCCACGGCUAACUACGUGCCAGCAGCCGCCGUAAGAC